rnacentral:lncRNA from 1 species
GUGUUGCUGCAGGGAGCCUCUGGGAGCCCAAGGGUGGAGAGAUCUACCUUCAUCUGAAGAUCUCUGCUAAAGGUAAAGACCUCCUAACAGGCCAGACAGCCUUAGCAGGAGUUCAGAAGUCUUACACCAAGGUGGCUCUGGGCAGUCACUGCUGAAAACCACACAGUUUUGUGGCUCUUGCAUUGUCUCAUGUCAACCAGAAAUUCUGCAGUUGAUUUCUCAAGAGAAGAUGACUUGAAGGACAGAGAAUCCUUUAGAGCAUUACAUUCCCCUGUUCGGAGUGUGGACAAGUGUUUGGCAUUCUGCUUCUACAGAUCGCUGCCGCUCGUGGAGCGCAGAGGGGACGGCGAGACUCCUGCAUCUUUCAGCGAGAAGAAAGAAGCCAGCGGAGCAGACUAAUACGGACUUGUGUCGGGUGCCCUUGCACUACAAAGGCUGCCUUUAAAAGAGGAACGCAGUGCUAUUUAAUGAGCUGUGAGAUGAGGCACUGCUGCUAACGCUCAGAUCCCAGGAUUCAUCGGCUAUUCAUUGUGCUUAAUGUACAUGUUUCUGCACCGUGCAUUUAGGAGAUCCCAGAGAAGAAUCCAAAACGGCUG